rnacentral:rRNA from 1 species
CAGUGGGGAAUAUUGCACAAUGGGCGCAAGCCUGAUGCAGCCAUGCCGCGUGUAUGAAGAAGGCCUUCGGGUUGUAAAGUACUUUCAGCAGUGAGGAAGGUGGGUAUGUUAAUAGCAUAUUCAUUUGACGUUAGCUGCAGAAGAAGCACCGGCUAACUCCGUGCCAGCAGCCGCGGUAAUACGGAGGGUGCGAGCGUUAAUCGGAAUUACUGGGCGUAAAGCGCAUGCAGGUGGUUUGUUAAGUCAGAUGUGAAAGCCCGGGGCUCAACCUCGGAAUUGCAUUUGAAACUGGCAAACUAGAGUACUGUAGAGGGGGUAGAAUUUCAGGUGUAGCGGUGAAAUGCGUAGAGAUCUGAAGGAAUACCGGUGGCGAAGGCGGCCCCCUGGACAGAUACUGACACUCAGAUGCGAAAGCGUGGGGAGCAAAACAGGAUUAGAUACCCUGGUAG